rnacentral:rRNA from 1 species
UACGUAGGGGGCAAGCGUUGUCCGGAAUUAUUGGGCGUAAAGAGCGCGUAGGCGGUCCGAUAAGUCGACUGUGAAAGUCUAGGGCUCAACCCCGGAAAGCCGGUCGAUACUGUCGGACUAGAGUCCGGAAGAGGCAAGUGGAAUUCCCGGUGUAGCGGUGAAAUGCGCAGAUAUCGGGAGGAACACCAAUGGCGAAGGCAGCUUGCUGGGACGGUACUGACGCUGAGGCGCGAAAGCGUGGGGAGCAAACAGG